UGAAAGAGACUUCGGACCCUCCUUUGGUUCCUCAGUUCAGAUAUUCCAACUUUCAAAGAGAUCCCCAGAGGAACAAGAAACUAUGAGCAAGGAUGUAUUGUAUCAUGAGAAGGUAAUUGUGCCAAGUAUGAGGGGUGUUUAGCAAUCGUAGUGAGUUCGCUUCGUAUAAAUUAAGCCUAGGUCUUGAGUUUUCCGGCAACAAGUGACGACAGUUGGACGG
rnacentral:lncRNA from 1 species